rnacentral:rRNA from 1 species
GUGAGGAAUAUUGCGCAAUGGAGGCAACUCUGACGCAGCCAUGCCGCGUGCAGGAAGAAGGCGCUACGCGUUGUAAACUGCUUUUAACCGGGAAGAAACCCCAGGACGUGUCCUGGGUUGACGGUACCGGAGGAAUAAGCACCGGCUAACUUCGUGCCAGCAGCCGCGGUAAUACGAAGGGUGCAAGCGUUAUCCGGAUUCAUUGGGUUUAAAGGGUGCGUAGGCGGAGCGUUAAGUCAGUGGUGAAAUCCUGCAGCUUAACUGUAGACUUGCAAUUGAUACUGGCGCUCUUGAGUGCGCUUGAAGUGGGCGGAAUGUGCCGUGUAGCGGUGAAAUGCUUAGAUAUGGCACAGAACACCAAUUGCGAAGGCAGCUCACUAAGGCGAUACUGACGCUGAGGCACGAAAGCGUGGGGAUCGAACAGGAUUAGAUACCCGAGUAGUCC